rnacentral:rRNA from 1 species
UACGUAGGGGGGCUAGCGUUGUCCGGAAUCAUUGGGCGUAAAGAGCGUGUAGGCGGCCCGGUAAGUCCGCUGUGAAAGUCGGGGGCUCAACCCUCGGAUGCCGGUGGAUACUGUCGGGCUCGAGUACGGAAGAGGCGAGUGGAAUUCCUGGUGUAGCGGUGAAAUGCGCAGAUAUCAGGAGGAACACCUAUUGCGAAGGCAGCUCGCUGGGACGUUACUGACACUGAGGCGCGAAAGCGUGGGGGAGCGAACAGG